CGUAGGUGGCAAGCGUUUGUCCGGAAUUAUUGGGCGUAAAGCGCGCGCAGGCGGCUUCUUAAGUCCAUCUUAAAAGUGCGGGGCUUAACCCCGUGAUGGGAUGGAAACUGAGAGGCUGGAGUAUCGGAGAGGAAAGUUGGAAUUCCUAGUGUAGCGGUGAAAUGCGUAGAGAUUAGGAAGAACACCGGUGGCGAAGGCGACUUUCUGGACGACAACUGACGCUGAGGCGCGAAAGCGUUGGGGAGCAAA
rnacentral:rRNA from 1 species